CCUGAUGCAGCGACGCCGCGUGAGGGAUGACGGCCUUCGGGUUGUAAACCUCUUUCAGCAGGGACGAAGCGCAAGUGACGGUACCUGCAGAAGAAGCGCCGGCCAACUACGUGCCAGCAGCCGCGGUAAGACGUAGGGCGCGAGCGUUGUCCGGAUUUAUUGGGCGUAAAGAGCUCGUAGGCGGCUUGUCGCGUCGAAUGUGAAAUCCCGAGGCUCAACUUCGGGCUUGCAUUCGAUACGGGCAGGCUAGAGUUCGGUAGGGGAGACUGGAAUUCCUGGUGUAGCGGUGAAAUGCGCAGAUAUCAGGAGGAACACCGGUGGCGAAGGCGGGUCUCUGGGCCGAUACUGACGCUGAGGAGCGAAAGCGUGGGGAGCGAACAGGAUUAGAUACCCUGGUAGUCCACGCUGUAAACGUUGGGCGCUAGGUGUGGGGGACCUCUCCGGUUCUCUGCGCCGCAGCUAACGCAUUAAGCGCCCCGCCUGGGGAGUACGGCCGCAAG
rnacentral:rRNA from 1 species